rnacentral:lncRNA from 1 species
UCAGUACUCUGCUUCAACAGAAAUGGAGCACUCGAAUGGGAUUUUAGCAGAGUUUAGAGAUAGUGCUUAGAGCUUAGAGGAGAACGUAUCUGGGGGGUCUCUUUUAUAGAUGGGAGAGCGUAAUCGAUUGACAGCGACAUCCGUAACUGCCUGGUAGUGGGCCGUUCGGGGCCACAUGGAGUUUGUUACCGAGAGUAGUGGUGUCCGUUGUCGUGACUUGCUGGAGAGUGGUGGGGCCACAUGGAGUUUAUUACAGAGAGUGGAGUGGUGUCUGUUGUCGCGACUUGCCGGGGAGUUCGGGUCGGAUAGUUGAAGCUCGGUUGGGACGUCUGGUGGAGCAGAAUAGCUCUCUGUCUCAGUAAUCUAAGAGAAGCUCGGAUGUUUCC